rnacentral:hammerhead_ribozyme from 1 species
GUCUAGAUGAAGAGUUCCAUAUAGGACGAAGUGCGCACCAUACAC